UACGUAGGGGGCUAGCGUUGUCCGGAAUCAUUGGGCGUAAAGAGCGUGUAGGCGGCCCGGUAAGUCCGCUGUGAAAGUCGGGGGCUCAACCCUCGAAUGCCGGUGGAUACUGUCGGGCUUGAGUGCGGAAGAGGCGAGUGGAAUUCCUGGUGUAGCGGUGAAAUGCGCAGAUAUCAGGAGGAACACCAAUUGCGAAGGCAGCUCGCUGGGACGUAACUGACGCUGAUGCGCGAAAGCGUGGGGAGCGAACAGG
rnacentral:rRNA from 1 species